rnacentral:rRNA from 1 species
AACGAACGCUGGCGGCAUGCCUAACACAUGCAAGUCGAACGAGACCUUCGGGUCUAGUGGCGCACGGGUGCGUAACGCGUGGGAACCUGCCCUUAGGUUCGGAAUAACUCCCCGAAAGGGGUGCUAAUACCGGAUAAUGUCUUCGGACCAAAGAUUUAUCGCCUUUGGAUGGGCCCGCGUUGGAUUAGCUAGUUGGUAGGGUAAAAGCCUACCAAGGCGACGAUCCAUAGCUGGUCUGAGAGGAUGAUCAGCCACACUGGGACUGAGACACGGCCCAGACUCCCACGGGAGGCAGCAGUGGGGAAUAUUGGAAAAGGGGCGAAAGCCUGAUCCAGCAAUGCCGGGUGAGGUAUGAAGGCCUUAGGGUUGUAAAGCUCUUUUACCCGGGAUGAUAAUGGCAGUACCGGGAGAAUAAGCCGCGGCUAACUCCGU